GGGGCAGCAAUAAACCAUGAUGGCAAUAGAGGAUCUGAGAUGAUGAGGACAGACACUUGAGCUGAGGAAGCAGUGCUAUCCACUGUGUUUCUCCUCUCAAGGAUGUAGGUAAUGUGGGAAGAUGGAGGGCUGACAGGAGAUGCUUGUAGGAGAUUCCCAGGGAGGUGUCCUAGAAACACUUUCAGCUACUUUCCCAAAGCUAAGUGUUUCCAAAGAUGCUUGAAACAGUUGUGUAGAGAACAGGAUGGACCAAACUGGGAGAUGACUGAGCACCGGAUGUCCCUUGUGAUUCUCAGAGUGCCAUGAAGUGAGCCCUCUGUGACAUCACAGGGUAAAUCCCUGCCUUAGUAACUGCAGAGUGCUUAGCCUGAGGAUAACUCAGAGUCCAGCAAGGAGGUCUGGGAUUCACACUGAGCACGUGUGUCUGCCUAGGCUUGGGCUGUUUUCUGGGAUGGACUACCUGAAAUUCAUCACGUCCACCUCCAUAUGUGUGAAAGUGCAUGAGGAGGACAUGGAAUUAUGCCACAUAUCUUGCUACAAAUAUGUAUAAACAGUUGCUGUAUCAGCAAGGUGUGUGUGUGUGUGUGUGUGUGUGUGUGUGUGUGUGUGUGCAUAUGCGCAUGCUAAAGACCUUGCCAAACAAGUACUCAGGGAGACAACACCUACAGCUCACCACUUGUAGUUACACAAGUCGGGGUACUUUAUGUUAAGAGAGAAAGCAUGGUCGUUCCCCAUGUUACAUCUAGGCACAUGGGAAGAAGCUGGAGAGAGGUGUGGUCAGCUCUGUUACCUCAUAUAGCCUGUUGCCAUGGUUAAAGGCUGUGGUGUUGGUGUGAGGGAGCUCAGGGAUGGGCUGGGAUCUGGAAGGAACUGCAGGUUUGUUGGGCUGUAUGUUGGGAGAAUAUAUACAGAUCUCCAUGAUGAAGUCCUGCCUAAACCUCAGUGUGCUAUACUGGGAGAUAGGAGUGAGGAAGUGUAUGAAGCCUAAUGUGGUCCUUGAAGUGACCUUUAGCAGGGCCUGUGCUAAAGCAGUAGAAACUGUUGCAGUAAGUAUUAGCAGGUGUGUGUGUGUGUGUUUGUGCAUAUGCACAUGAACAUGCUAAAGAACUUGCCAAACAAGUACUCAGGGAAACAACACCAAUAAGCCUAGGGAAUGGUCACACCCAGCUUGUACCACAUGGAAAGACUCCAGGCGCCAGACUAGUGCAGGAUGAAGCUCUGCUGUUGUGCCCUAAGCCAUGGACAACUAUCAGCUAUGGCAGCCCAUUGUGUCCAGGGCAGGUAGGAGAUGGUACAGAGUCCUACUGUCUGGGCUUCUGAAGGGACUUUGCUUCUUCACAGUAAUAAUCUUGUCUUGUAUGUCCAGGGGUUGUCUCCAGCAUGACCGAAAGCAGGUACUCAACAGGUGUGGGAACUAAAAGGGAGGCUGGGGAAGAGGGGGAGGGAGGAUAGCCCACGUCCAGCCAGAGUUCCACCUAUGCUCUGGGCAAGCAGACAUGGGAGGGCUGCCAGACGCUUUCCACUCAGCCCCGGGUAGGCAUCUAAGCCACUGACCCCACUCAAUGGGGGGCGGACAAGGGGCAGCCCCCAACCGGGAGCCCUGGAAUGACACCCUGUAGCCCCGGGGUUAUGGGAGUGAGGGCUGAGGGAGAGAGGUUCCCACACAGGUGAGAGUCUGUGCAGUGGGCCUUGAUGAGCAGAGAUAGUCUAUGGUUUAAGAGCUAGAGGGUAAGAGGGAGAGAGACGAAAAGAGAGGAAAUGAGAGAGGAUAGUAAGGGGAUUAAGAGCAAGAGGAGUGAGAGAGUGAGGAGAGGUCAAACAGCCCUUUUUAUGGUAUGCUGUUAUCUUUACUGUUGCUAGGUAACUGGGGAGGAGUCUAGCCUGAAGGUCAGAAGCUUGGGACAUUGCCUAUAUGACUACUAACCAUGCUUCUCCUGUGGGGGCUGAGGGGAAGGUAACUUUGACAGGAGCCAUAGUUCCAGGAGACAUGAGAGAACUCCUUCCGUCCCAUGUAGGUGAAUUAUCACCACUGGGUCUCAGAGUUCAGACCUCAGCUUGACUGGAGACCAGACUGUCUGUGUAUAGCCCAUUGCCCCACAAACAGGACAUAUUAUUCUAGCACUCUACCUAACCCUGCACACUAUACAUAAUUAUAUUUAAAUUGUAUGUUUAGUGUGCAUGGUCUGGGAGUGUAUAUAUGGGAGUACAUGUGCCUUCAGGUAUAAAGGCAUGCAGGAAAGUGCAGGAGCAAGGACCUGAAUGGCAGUGACAGGGGCUCUGUGAAGUUCUUGAGGUGUUCCUUAUUUAACACAACAGGAGUUCUGUUAAGCCAGAACAGCAGUAAAUACAAGGGUGCCUGCCGAAUGGCAUGCUAUACAUAGACUCAGGAAGAAGACACCAUACACGUGCCAGGAAGGGAGGCCUCUGGAAGAAACUGUCAAGUCAGUGCCUGCUUUUAAGACUCAAAACUCACGCAAGUGAUCAACUACUUACACUGCCCCCUAUGUCAUUAUUUCAGGGAACAUAUGCUACACAGGUUCAUAAGGAAGUGCUUUCCCAGGACCUUCUCUGUGUUUUCUUUUAAACAUGAACCUUCCUAGAAAUCUUUAUUUUCAACUCAAAGGCCCUUUCCUGCAUGGCCACAGACAUUGAUAUCACAUCCCUUCUUCAUCUACUUAACAUAUUU
rnacentral:lncRNA from 1 species